rnacentral:piRNA from 1 species
GUGCGUAGGCUUUUAAACUGUUAUA